CCUCCAUAACUGGGCUGCUGCUGCUGGUCAUACUGCUACUAGUGCUGAGACGAUGCAUCCAGAGAAAAACUGGAGUGAGUGAUGCUGUGACAGCUGCCACCUCUUCAUCAGUGAGAAGAACAUCAGCAGAUGAUGGAAAUGGGUCAAAGAUGAUGAGAGAGAGCGAUCCAGCGGCAGUUUAUUCUUCAGUGCACAGAACAUCUGACAUCAACUAUGCACAGAUCCCCAUCAAGAUGAACUGCAGACAGAGAGAUCUUCCAUCAGAGCCAGCGGUCAUCUACUCCUCACUCAAGCCGAGCCACACACCUUCACCACAGUGUAACCAGUCUGAGUAGUGACGUCCAGCUGGCUGCUACAUCCCUGCACUCCUCUAAAUUAUAUAUUAUUUAUUUAAUCAUAUACUGUGUGUGUUUACAGUCGUACAGCUGCACUGAACCAGUUUGAAUGUAGAGUUCAGGAUGAAGUGCAAAGUGUUAUGUAAUUAUGUUUUUGUUGUUACAGUGUCACGUUUGCUAUUGUUAUUACCAUGGCUGUUACAGUUAUUGUUAACAUUGUUGUUAUUAUUGCUACUAUUGUUGUUCUAAAUGUUGUUAAUUUUAUUACUUUGGUAGUUAAUGUUGUUACUGUUACCUACUCGAAUCAACUCACAAUGGUUCACCAUUAUCUUCAGGGUUUUCCUUUUGGUAAUACUACCUGGUACCAGAUACUAAAAUAAUACCUGCUCAGCCAGGGUUCAUGUGACAUUGUCAGACUGCAUAUCUCAUAUUUGCUGGUAAACAGCGUCACUCAAUUAGUCCGGAGAGUGUGUCUUUCACAAAAAUCAAAAGUGCCAUUUUGAAACCUGGUAAAGGGGAAAAUGGCGACAAAAACCAGCACCGAAGCCCCCGAGUCUGACAGAAAGCCACAGACCAAUUCUCAGUUCAGUUUCAGUUUUAUUUGUCAUAUGCAAGUAAGCACAGGGUCUACAUUACAAUGAAAUGUAUUUGACGAGCAGAAAACAGUCACUCAGCAGUAUAGUACAGUAAAAGAUAGUAAAAAACAAACAAAAUAUAUAUAUAAAAUAUAGUGAAAAAUACAGUAAAAAUGUUAACAGACUAAACAUCAUCUGUAAGAGUUUUUAUUUUUAUUUAAAUACUAAUAAAAAUGAAGUGAGCAGUGCAGAGUGUAGUAUGUACCUGUGAAACUGUAGGACAGC